CCAAACCCCAGGAGGGCUAGCGUGUAAGCCCUUUAUGUCUGAAGGUCUUUCUCUGUGGCCAUGGAGGCUCAGCUCUGAGAACUCGGGAUAUAACAGAGUCUUCCCCCUGAGGAACUUCGAUUCGAACAGUGGUGAUCUGGUGCUAGUUAAACAGGGGGAAAUUGAGGCAAGAAAUCCUCUACGCUGGGAAAUCUGGUUCCUCUUCUGAACUCUACUGCAAACACAUACAGCUGCCCGGCUGUCCACUGGAAAAGUGCAUUGUGUAUGAAGUGUGAGACACCAGUGCUUUGUCAGGGUUCUUCCUCCUCCUACAGUCCUUACUGCUCCUCUGAGACCUAGAAAGUACCAUUUUCAGUUUCUGUUUAGCAUCAUUAAGGAAGAGCUGCAAUGGACAAGCUUCCUAGAGAUGGCCCACCAUCUUGCUCUGCUGCAAUAGGUGAACCCUGAG
rnacentral:lncRNA from 1 species